GACGAACGCUGGCGGCGUGCUUAACACAUGCAAGUCGUACGGAAAGGCCCUGCUUUUGUGGGGUGCUCGAGUGGCGAACGGGUGAGUAACACGUGAGUAACCUGCCCUUGACUUUGGGAUAACUUCAGGAAACUGGGGCUAAUACCGGAUAGGAGCUCCUGCUGCAUGGUGGGGGUUGGAAAGUUUCGGCGGUUGGGGAUGGACUCGCGGCUUAUCAGCUUGUUGGUGGGGUAGUGGCUUACCAAGGCUUUGACGGGUAGCCGGCCUGAGAGGGUGACCGGCCACAUUGGGACUGAGAUACGGCCCAGACUCCUACGGGAGGCAGCAGUGGGGAAUAUUGCACAAUGGGCGGAAGCCUGAUGCAGUAACGCCGCGUGCGGGAUGACGGCCUUCGGGUUGUAAACCGCUUUCGCCUGUGACGAAGCGUGAGUGACGGUAAUGGGUAAAGAAGCACCGGCUAACUACGUG
rnacentral:rRNA from 1 species